UAAAAUUUAAUUACAGCAUAAAAUGGAUGCCUUGACUCGAAUAUCCGAAGAAGGACGUACAAGUCUGCGAUAAGCCUAGAAGAGUCGACAAGAGACGUUAUUAUUCUAGGAUUUCCGAAUGGGGGAACCUAAUACAAGUAAUUUGUAUUGCCUGCAUAGCAGGAGGACACGCGGUGAACUGAAAUAUCUAAGUAGCCACGGACAAGAAAUCAAAUGAGAUUCCCUUAGUAGUGACGAGCGAAACGGGAUCAGCCCAAACCAUAAGAUACGUAUAGGUAGCUUUUGUACUUAUGGGGUUGUAGGAAUAACAUUAGGGGAGGCUAAUAAACCUAAUAUUUUUUAAGAUUGUUAAGAGAACAAGCUGGGAAGCUUGGCCAUAGAGGGUUAAAGCCCCGUAAAUUAAAGCAUUUUUAUCAAAUAUCUGUUAUUUCCUGAGUAGGUUCAGACACGUGUAAUCUGGAUUGAAUCUGGGGAGACCACUCUCCAAGGCUAAAUAGUAUUCGAGAUCGAUAGUGAACUAGUACCAUGAGGGAAAGGUGAAAAGAACCCCGGGAGGGGAGUGAAAUAGAACCUGAAAUUUUAUGCUUAUAAUGAGAUGGAGCCUUCGGGUGACAUCGUACUUUUUGUAGAACGGACCAACGAGUUAGUGUGUAUGGCAAGGUUAAGGAAGUUAAAUCCGGAGCCGUAGUGAAAGCGAGCCUGAAUAGGGCGUUAAGUCAUAUAUACUAGACCCGAAACUAGGUGAGCUUCCCAUGAGCAGGCUGAAGCGGUAGUAAAAUACCGUGGAGGGCCGAACCAUUAGGAGCUGCAAGUCCUUUGGAUGACUUGUGGGAAGGAGUGAAAAGCUAAUCGAACCUAGAGAUAGCUGGUUCUCCGCGAAAUAGCUUUAGGGCUAGCCUCGAUUAACUAUUAUACGGGGGUAGAGCUCUGAUUGGACUAGCGGGCCUCGCGGCUUAGCAAAUCCUGAUAAACUUCGAAUACCGUAUAAAUUACAUCGGGAGUCAGACGGUGACAGAUAAGUGCCAUCGUCAAAAGGGAAACAGCCCAGAUUACUGUCUAAGGUCCCUAAUUAAUAACUAAGUGGAAAAGGAUGUGGGAUUGCUGAGACAACCAGGAGGUUGGCUUAGAAGCAGCCAUUCCUUGAAAGAGUGCGUAAUAGCUCACUGGUCAAGCGAACCUGCGCCGAAAAUUCAACGGGGCUAAGUUAUUAACCGAAGACGUAAACUCGCAAGAGUGGUAGCGGAGCGUUCUGUAUGUCGCUGAAGGUGAAGGGUGACCUUUGCUGGAGAUAUCAGAAGUGAAAAUGUUGGUAUGAGUAACGUAAGGGAGAUGAAAACUCUCCCCGCCGAAAACCUAAGGUUUCCUACGCAACGGCAGUCGACGUAGGGUUAGUCGGUCCUAAGGUGAACCCGAAAGGGGCAGCUGAUGGAUAUCAGGUUAAUAUUCCUGAACUACUAAUAUUUUGCUAAGGGGGGACAUAUCGGGACAUAGGAGACACUGAAUUAAUUGUGUUACGAAAACAAAUCUUAAAUUGUAGGCAAAUCCGCAAUUUUCUAUGGUGAGUUUAGUUAAGUGGAGUUUACUUCUUCGGAAGCAAAUGAAAUGGCUUCUACUGUGUUCUGGUAUCGAGAAAAGCCUCUAUGCGUUAAAAUAUUGGUAACCGUACCGUAAACGAACACACGUGGGUUAGUGGAGAACACUAAGGCGAACGAGAUAACCAUGCUUAAGGAACUCGGCAAAACAGCGGUCGUAACUUCGGGAUAAGACCUGCCUUGAAUUUAAUUUAGAUUCAAGGCCGCAGCGAAAGAACUCAGGCGACUGUUUACCAAAAACACAGCUCUCUGCAAAAUCGUAAGAUGAUGUAUAGGGGGUGAUGCCUGCCCAGUGCCAGAAGGUUACGUGGAUGAGUGCAAGCUCUGAAAUUAAGCCCUGGUGAACGGCGGCCGUAACUAUAACGGUCCUAAGGUAGCGAAAUUCCUUGUCGGGUAAGUUCCGACCCGCACGAAUGGCAUAACGGUCUGAGUACUGUCUCAAGCAUGGACUCGGUGAAAUUGCAAUGUCGGUAAAAAUGCCGACUACCUGCAGCAAGACGGAAAGACCCUAUGGAGCUUUACUACAGCUUGAUAUUGGGUUAUAAUUUAAGAUGUGCAGAAUAGGUGGGAGACUUUGAAGAGGGAACGCUAGUUCUUUUGGAGUCACCUUUGAGAUACCACCCUUCUUAAAUUGUAACUCUAACCCGAUUAUUCGGGGACAGUGUUUGGUGGGUAGUUUAACUGGGGCGGUUGCCUCCUAAAGAGUAACGGAGGCGCGCAAUGGUCAACUAUCUCCGGAUGGAAAUCGGAGAGAUAGUGUAUUCGCAUAAGUUGGCCUGACUGAGAGACCUACAAGUCGAACAGACACGAAAGUGGGCGAAAAUGAUCCGGCACUAACGCGUGGAAGUGGUGUCGCUCAACGGAUAAAAGUUACCCUAGGGAUAACAGGCUGAUCGCGUCCAAGAGUUCACAUCGACGACGCGGUUUGGCACCUCGAUGUCGGCUCGUCGCAUCCUGGGGCUGGAGAAGGUCCCAAGGGUAUGGCUGUUCGCCAUUUAAAGCGGUACGCGAGCUGGGUUCAGAACGUCGUGAGACAGUUUGGCCCCUAUCUGCUGUGGGCGUGUAGAAAUUUGAGAAGAUCUGUUCCUAGUACGAGAGGACCGGAAUGGACAAACCUCUGGUGUAUCGGUUGUCAGGUAUACUGGCACUGCCGAGUAGCUAAGUUUGGAAUGGAUAACCACUGAAAGCAUCUAAGUGGGAAGCCAACUUCAAGAUUAGAUUUCUCUGCCUCGAGCAAUAAGUCCCCAUGGAGACUACAUGGUUGAUAGGUUGCAGGUGUAAGAAUAGUGAUAUUCUCAGCCGAGCAAUACUAAUCGGACGAAUGGAUUUUAUUA
rnacentral:rRNA from 1 species